rnacentral:rRNA from 1 species
UGCAGUCGACGGUGAACACGGAGCUUGCUCUGUGGGAUCAGUGGCGAACGGGUGAGUAACACGUGAGCAACCUGCCCCUGACUCUGGGAUAAGCGCUGGAAACGGCGUCUAAUACUGGAUAUGUGACGUGACCGCAUGGUCUGCGUCUGGAAAGAAUUUCGGUUGGGGAUGGGCUCGCGGCCUAUCAGCUUGUUGGUGAGGUAAUGGCUCACCAAGGCGUCGACGGGUAGCCGGCCUGAGAGGGUGACCGGCCACACUGGGACUGAGACACGGCCCAGACUCCUACGGGAGGCAGCAGUGGGGAAUAUUGCACAAUGGGCGCAAGCCUGAUGCAGCAACGCCGCGUGAGGGACGACGGCCUUCGGGUUGUAAACCUCUUUUAGCAGGGAAGAAGCGAAAGUGACGGUACCUGCAGAAAAAGCGCCGGCUAACUACGUGCCAGCAGCCGCGGUAAUACGUAGGGCGCAAGCGUUAUCCGGAAUUAUUGGGCGUAAAGAGCUCGUAGGCGGUUUGUCGCGUCUGCUGUGAAAUCCGGAGGCUCAACCUCCGGCCUGCAGUGGGUACGGGCAGACUAGAGUGCGGUAGGGGAGAUUGGAAUUCCUGGUGUAGCGGUGGAAUGCGCAGAUAUCAGGAGGAACACCGAUGGCGAAGGCAGAUCUCUGGGCCGUAACUGACGCUGAGGAGCGAAAGGGUGGGGAGCAAACAGGCUUAGAUACCCUGGUAGUCCACCCCGUAAACGUUGGGAACUAGUUGUGGGGUCCAUUCCACGGAUUCCGUGACGCAGCUAACGCAUUAAGU